rnacentral:rRNA from 1 species
UAGGGAAUCUUCCGCAAUGGACGAAAGUCUGACGGAGCAACGCCGCGUGAGUGAAGAAGGAUUUCGGUUCGUAAAACUCUGUUGUUAGGGAAGAAAAAAUGUAUAGUAACUAUAUACAAAAGAGACGGUACCUAACCAGAAAGCCACGGCUAACUACGUGCCAGCAGCCGCGGUAAUACGUAGGUGGCAAGCGUUGUCCGGAAUUAUUGGGCGUAAAGCGCGCGCAGGUGGUUUAGAAAGUCUGAUGUGAAAGCCCACGGCUCAACCGUGGAGGGUCAUUGGAAACUAAUAAACUUGAGUGCAGGAGAGAAAAGUGGAAUUCCUAGUGUAGCGGUGAAAUGCGUAGAGAUUAGGAGGAAAACCGGUGGCGAAAGCGGCUUUUUGGCAUGCAACUAACACUGAGGCGCGAAAGCGUGGGGAGCAAACAGG